UCCGAGUUAACCCCGGCAGUCUCCCGUGAGUCCCCAACUGAAUGCUGGCAACACGGGAUAAGGGUUGCGCUCGUUGCGGGACUUAACCCAACAUCUCACGACACGAGCUGACGACAGCCAUGCACCACCUGACACCCAGUCCGAAGAGGCCUCUAUCUCUAGAGGUUUCCGGGUGAUGUCAAACCUAGGUAAGGUGGGGAUGACGUGAGGAUAG
rnacentral:misc_RNA from 1 species